rnacentral:lncRNA from 12 species
CAUUUGCAUUUGGAAUUAGUUGCGUUUGCGUUUGGGCUCUACAAAUGAACUUAGGAAACAGUAACCAGCUUUGUUGGUGAAGCUUCUGCUAAACGCUACAGCCCAGCACUCCUAAAGAAAAGAGCAAUAAGGUCAGAAUCCAUUCAUCUCGCAAUUUUAAAAACUUUUUUUGUUUUGACCCAACCUUUUUUCUUUGUUUUAAAGCUCAUCCCAUUAGUUUAAUAAAAUACUGAAUUAAUCUCUUUAUCUUCUUUAAUACUUGGCACUAUAAGCAGUUAAUAAGAUGCUAUUGAAAAACCUUUUAGAAUUUUUUUUUUUUGGAUACUGUGUUGCACUAUGGACUUCAGGACCAUGAUUGUGUGUUGUGUCAUGCACAUUUUAAGCUAAAUAAAAGGAUAGAUAUUUUGGAUGCUCUGGUCAGUAAUUGAGAUUUAAGAAUCAAUAU